UACAGAGGGUGCGAGCGUUAAUCGGAAUUACUGGGCGUAAAGCGUGCGUAGACGGUUAUGUAAGUCGGAUGUGAAAGCCCCGGGCUUAACCUGGGAAUGGCAUUCGAGACUGCAUAGCUAGGAUGCGGAAGAGGGAAGUGGAAUUUCCGGUGUAGCGGUGAAAUGCGUAGAUAUGCGGAGGAACACCGAUGGCGAAGGCAAUCCCCUGGGCCUGCACUGACGCUCAUGCACGAAAGCGUGGGGAGCAAACAGG
rnacentral:rRNA from 1 species